CUGUGAGAUUCCUGGUGGAGGAUGAGGAUGCGGCAGGCUGUAGCAGAGGACACGCUCAAGGACGGAGUAGCUCUGCAGAGCAUGGGAAGAGAGUGGGUGAAGGAACCCGGCCAGUUCCUGAUGAGCCUGAGGAAGAAUGGCCAUGGGCUGAAGUGGUCGAGAGAGAUGUGGGGAAGGAACUGGACAACUAUAUGGCACAAACGAAAGGUGAGUUUCAGGAAACAGUCGGGUUCCAACAAAG